UGAGUAACCUGCCUUUAACUCUGGGAUAAGCCUGGGAAACUGGGUCUAACACCGGAUAUGACUCCUCAUCGCAUGGUGGAGGGUGGAAAGCUUUAUUGUGGUUUUGGAUGGACUCGCGGCCUAUCAGCUUGUUGGUGAGGUAAUGGCUCACCAAGGCGACGACGGGUAGCCGGCCUGAGAGGGUGACCGGCCACACUGGGACUGAGACACGGCCCAGACUCCUACGGGAGCAG
rnacentral:rRNA from 1 species